UACGGAGGAUGCAAGCGUUAUCCGGAAUGAUUGGGCGUAAAGCGUCCGCAGGUGGCUAUGUAAGUCUGCUGUUAAAGAGUGAGGCUCAACCUCAUAAGAGCAGUGGAAACUACAUGGCUAGAGUGCGUUCGGGGCAGAGGGAAUUCCUGGUGUAGCGGUGAAAUGCGUAGAUAUCAGGAAGAACACCGGUGGCGAAAGCGCUCUGCUAGGCCGCAACUGACACUGAGGAACGAAAGCUAGGGGAGCGAAUGGG
rnacentral:rRNA from 1 species